UAUCACUAAGCGGAGCAAACGGGUCCCUGCAUAUGCUCCUAAGCUGGAACUUAGGGGAUCCGUAUCUUUGGUUUUGGCUCUCGUCUAUGUUCCUUGGAACAGGACGUCACAGAGGGUGAGAAUCCCGUGCGAUGAGAUGCCCAAUUCCAUGUAAAGUUCCUUCGACGAGUCGAGUUGUUUGGGAAUGCAGCUCUAAGUGGGUGGUAAAUUCCAUCUAAAGCUAAAUAUUGGCGAGAGACCGAUAGCGAACAAGUACUGUGAAGGAAAGAUGAAAAGAACUUUGAAAAGAGAGUGAAAAAGUACGUGAAAUUGUUGAAAGGGAAGGGCUUGAGGUCAGACUUGGUUUUACCAGGCCAGCAUCAGUUUGGAUGGCAGGAUAAUAGCUUAGGAAUGUGGCACUGCUUCGGUAGUGUGUUAUAGCCUGGGUUGAUACUGCCUGUCUAGACUGAGGACUGCGUCUUUGACUAGGAUGCUGGCAUAAUGACCUUAAGCC
rnacentral:rRNA from 1 species